UUGUGGGUUAGAUUUUGUUUCGGUCUCGGUCACGUUGCAACUCAGUUUUUAAAAAAUUCUCACCGGCUUUCAUUUUCUUGUGGGUUGUGCACUUGGUUUCAGAACUCUCUUUUUAGAGUAAGGGAUAAGAGAGCGUUCAAACUCACGGUUUAGAAACCAAUGGGAUUUGAAGGCUAAAACUAAUAAUCUCUUGUUUUUCACAUAAUGAAAAUUUUUACACGAUUCACUAAAUCACAAUUUUUUUUUAUUUUUAUUUUUUUAUCGAUUUGUGUGGUGUGUGAAAUUUUGUGAUGUCUCUCGUACUUGUUUCACAGCGCUUGUUGCAACGAGAAAAAAAGAAUGUAUUGAAGAGAGAAAAAAAAAAAAAAAGAGAGACAAUCUAAAACAGAUUACUUACCACACUUUUUGAUAUGCUUGAUCUUCCAUGACUUUGGAACGAGCCAUUCAACCUUUAUAAUAGUAGGGUCACUUUCUUAUGGGUUAAAGAAAGUGGUCAGCUCAUUGCCACCCAAUGUCCCCAUAUUGUAAAAUUAUAGACCCUAAGACAUAGGGACCAUGAGUAUGAUUGCAGGGUCUUAACAAUCCAAUUCGAGUGCAUGGGCUGGACACAUUACUGAUGCCUGCUUGCUUUUUAGUUAUUUACUUAACAAAUGACUUGUAAUGUUGUGAGUUGUUAUGUAUAUAUAUGUUUAUGUUAUAAAAAAAAUAAUUAUAAAAGAAAAAAAAAAAAAAGUUUGUGGACCCCAUCAAUAUGUUAAACAUCAAAAAAAGGGCCUGGCAUUUGACCAGAUUGUCUUCUCUCUCUCUCUCUCCCUCUCUCUUUCUCGCGUCCAGUAGCUUCCUUCUUCUUCUUCUUCUUCUUCUUCUUCUUCUUCUUUUUUUUUUUUUUUUUUUUUUUUUUUUCUACAAUUUCAAACUUGGAUUCCUCCUUCCAUUUUUAGAAUUUUUGAGUGCCAGCAAAUCGAAGAGCACGGCGAGAUCUACGUGUGAGUACCAGCAAUUUCAGUUUUGGUGCACUCUAGGGAUUUCAAAAUUCUAAGGUUCUUGAGCUCAAAUUGGGGGUUUUCAUCAAAUUUGAGGCUUCACUUGGAAGUUUCAGGCAGACAACACAUGACAGAUCAAAGUGCUAAGAAGGACAUCUGAAUGGAAGAAUGAAGUUAUAGAGUCAUUCAUAUUUACGUAAAGAAAUAUCGAGUGUUGGAGGGAGUUUGGAAGUGGAGGGUUUCUAUAUAUGUGUAGAGUGUAGACAAGAUUCUGUAAGUCUGAUAUUUAUAAUUUGAUCCGAUAAAUAAGUGUUUAAGUUCA